GGGGCCGUGGUCUAGCUUGGUAUGAUCCGCGCUUGGGGUGUGCGAGAUCGUGAGUUCAAAUCUCACCGGUCCCACCA
rnacentral:tRNA from 1 species